AUGCAAGUCGAGCGAGAUUUUUCGUUGUAGCAAUACGAUGGAAAGUCUAGCGGCGAACGGGUGCUUAACACGUGGGCAACCUGCCAUGAAGUGGGGGAUAGCUCGCCGAAAGGCGAAUUAAUACCGCAUGUGAUUAGAGAGGACAUCCUUUCGAAAUUAAAGUCGGGGCAACCUGACGCUUCUUGUGGGGCCCGCGGCCUAUCAGCUAGUUGGUGAGGUAACGGCUCACCAAGGCUUUGACGGGUAGCUGGUCUGAGAGGACGACCAGCCACACUGGGACUGAGACACGGCCCAGACACCUACGGGUGGCAGCAGUCGAGAAUUUUUGACAAUGGGGGAAACCCUGAUCGAGCGACGCCGCGUGGAGGAUGAAGGUCUUCGGAUUGUAAACUCCUGUCAUUGGGGAACAAGGUGCAUACGUUAACUGCGUGUGCAUUGAUAGUACCCGAAGAGGAAGAGACGGCUAACUCUGUGCCAGCAGCCGCGGUAAUACAGAGGUCUCAAGCGUUGUUCGGAUUCAUUGGGCGUAAAGGGUGCGUAGGCGGCGCGGUAAGUCGG
rnacentral:rRNA from 1 species